rfam:Apis mellifera strain DH4 linkage group 15, whole genome shotgun sequence.
UCUUGUUCAUAAGUACUAGUGCCGCAGGAGUGACUAGGUUGGGUUAGAAAUUACCAUAUCUCCUGCUGCUCAAGUGCUUAUCAAUGGGU